GAUUUUACCUUAUUUUUUAAAUAUUUCCUAUGAAGUCCAUAUGUUACCAAUUAUAACUGAGUCAACUAUACGGAGCUUUACAUGAGAUCAUAUGAUUAGCAUGAUAUUUAAAUCAUUUAUGUUGUUUGUCCUUAAAUGCUAAGCAAUAGAUGGUACUAUUUUGCAAGCCUUCUUACACGGAGCAAGUUGCUUUAUAAAUUAUCUAAAUUUGUUCUUCUAGAUUAUACUGGGGUUGGUUAUUGGGAUUUUUUUGUGUUUGUAUUUUGUUCUCUUCAAGGAAAAAUAUAUAUAUAUAUUGAGCUUAUAAAGGACGUGUUUGAAAUUUUGAAUCGAUGAUUAAAAUAAACUGAUCAUCUGAGGCUAAUGUCAUGAAAAUUUACCUUUUUUUUCUGGUUCUUGGAAACUUCUUAGAAAAUUCACUUCCAUCAAACAGCUUUGAUCUGGAUGUAGUUCUUUCGAGGGAAAACGCAGCUGCAAAGCCAAGCAGGUCACACGUUCCCGUGAAGAGCAUUGCUGCUUCCCCUGGAAAGGUGUGUCAGGAAGCAGUAAUGACAGCAAGACAACUGGAUUGAAAAAGAAUGAAAAGAAACAUGGUAAGCUUACUGGAAUCAUGAUAGACCUUUGUAAUUGUUACCUUAAAGGGGGAGUAAAUUUGGUAUAAUGCAAUUAUUAAACCAUUAUGUUUCUGAAGGCUCAGCUGCAUACCAUGCAUAUUUGUUAUCCUUUUAAAAAAU
rnacentral:lncRNA from 1 species